rnacentral:rRNA from 1 species
GAUUAACGCUGGCGGCGUGCGUAACACAUGCAAGUCGAACGGUAUUUUGAAAGGAAGAGACUUCGGUCUUGGAAAGUCAAGAGAGAGUGGCGAACGGGUGAGUAACGCGUGAGCAACCUGCCUUCCACAAAGGGAUAGCUGCCGGAAACGGUAAUUAAUACCAUAUGAAGUUAACGAAUCGCAUGAUAAGGUAACUAAAGAGAAAUCGGUGGAAGAUGGGCUCGCGUCCGAUUAGCUGGUUGGAGAGAUAACAGCUCACCAAGGCAAUGAUCGGUAGCCGGCUUGAGAGAGUGAACGGCCACACUGGAACUGAGAGACGGUCCAGACUCCUACGGGAGGCAGCAGUGGGGAAUUUUGCACAAUGGGGGGAACCCUGAUGCAGCGACGCCGCGUGAGCGAAGAAGGAAUUCGUUUCGUAAAGCUCUGUCCUAUGGAAAGAUAAUGACGGUACCAUAGGAGGAAGCCCCGGCUAACUACGUGCCAGCAGCCGCGGUAAUACGUAGGGGGCGAGCGUUGUCCGGAAUUAUUGGGCGUAAAGGGUACGCAGGCGGUCUAAGAAGUCAGAUGUUAAAGCGUAGGGCUUUACCCCUAUAAAGCAUAUGAAACUGAUAGACUUGAGUGAAGGAGAGGAAAGUGGAAUUCCUGGUGUAGCGGUGAAAUGCGUAGAUAUCAGGAGGAAUACCGGUGGCGAAGGCGACUUUCUGGACUUUAACUGACGCUGAGGUACGAAAGCGCGGGGAGCAAACAGGAUUAGAUACCCUGGUAGUCCGCGCCGUAAACGAUGAAUGCUAGGUAUUGGGAGUCAAACUUCAGUGCCGAAGUAAACACAUUAAGCAUUCCGCCUGGGGAGUACGGUGGCAACACUGAAACUCAAAGGAAUUGACGGGGACCCGCACAAGCAGCGGAGCAUGUGGUUUAAUUCGAUGCAACGCGAAGAACCUUACCGGGGCUUGACAAAUACUUGAAGUAUGUAGAGAUACAUAUGAUUCUUCGGAAGCAGGUAAACAGGUGGUGCAUGGUUGUCGUCAGCUCGUGUCGUGAGAUGUUGGGUUAGGUCCCGCAACGAGCGCAACCCCUAUGCUUAGUUACCAGCAGUAAGAUGGGGACUCUAAGCAGACUGCCGAUGAUAAAUCGGAGGAAGGCGGGGAAGACGUCAAAUCAUCAUGCCCUUUAUGUCCCGGGCUACACACGUGCUACAAUGGUCGGCACAGAGGGAUGCGACAUAGAGAUAUGAAGCGAAACCCAAAAAGCCGGUCCCAGUUCGGAUUGUAGGCUGCAAUUCGCCUACAUGAAGUCGGAGUUGCUAGUAAUCGCAAAUCAGAAUGUUGCGGUGAAUGCGUUCCCGGGUCU